AAUGACCGCGGAUCAGUGAGGAUACCCGCUGAAUUUAAGCAUAUCAAUAAGCGGAGGA
rnacentral:rRNA from 1 species